rnacentral:rRNA from 1 species
AAUGAACGUUGGCGGCGUGGAUUAGGCAUGCAAGUCGAGCGUGAUAGGUUUGGUGCUUGCAUUAAACCUUGAAAGCGGCGAAAGGGACAGUAACGCGUAGAUACCCACCUCCAGGUCCGGGGUAGCGGCGGGAAACUGCCGGUAAUACCGGAUAAUGUCUUCGGACCAAAGGUGUGAUUCCGCUUGGAGACGGAGCUGCGUCCUAUUAGCUAGUUGGGGGGGGAAUGGCCCACCAAGGCGAUGAUGGGUAGCGGGGGUGAGAGCGUGGCGCGCGUCACUGGGACUGAGACACUGCCCAGACACCUGCGGGAGGCUGCAGUCGAGAAUCUUCGGCAAUGGGCGCAAGCCUGACCGAGCGACGCCGCGUGCGGGAUGAAGGCCUUCGGGUUGUAAACCGCUGUCGGAGAGGCGGAAAUAUCUAGGAGUUCUCCCCUGGAGUUGACCUAAUCUCGGAGGAAGUCCGGGCUAAGUUCGUGCCAGCCGCCGCGGUAAUAC